CACGCCCUAAACGAUGUCAACUAGUUGUUGGGGAUUCAUUUCCUUAGUAACGUAGCUAACGCGUGAAGUUGACCGCCUGGGGAGUACGGUCGCAAGAUUAAAACUCAAAGGAAUUGACGGGGACCCGCACAAGCGGUGGAUGAUGUGAAUUAAUUCGAUGCAACGCGAAAAACCUUACCUACCCUUGACAUGGUCGGAAGUCUGCUGAGAGGUGGACGUGCUCGAAAGAGAACCGGCGCACAGGUGCUGCAUGGCUGUCGUCAGCUCGUGUCGUGAGAUGUUGGGUUAAGUCCCGCAACGAGCGCAACCCUUGUCCUUAGUUGCUACGCAAGGGCACUCUAAGGAGACUGCCGGUGACAAACCGGAGGAAGGUGGGGAUGACGUCAAGUCCUCAUGGCCCUUAUGGGUAGGGCUUCACACGUCAUACAAUGGUCGGAACAGAGGGUUGCCAAGCCGCGAGGUGGAGCCAAUCCCAGAAAACCGAUCGUAGUCCGGAUCGCAGUCUGCAACUCGACUGCGUGAAGCUGGAAUCGCUAGUAAUUCGCGGAUCAGCAUGCCGCGGG
rnacentral:rRNA from 1 species